AGUGGAUGCUUUCUCUUCUCAACUCAUCACAAGAUGGAGUGUAGAAUGGAAAUAACAAAUACAGAAAACUCCUAGACCCUCAGAAAAACAAAAAACAACAGGACAGAGAGAAAAAUGGAGGCCAGAAGUGAAACGCAAACCAGUGAAUCACAAGAGAAAAGCAGAUGCAGAUUUGUUAGACAGAGCAGUAUGGAUAGAAUAAAGCCAGAAUUCUCACGUCAUCCAAACGGGCCUGUGAAGUUUCAUUCAUUUUGCUCUCAAGAACACACAACAACAGAGUCCAGUUACCAGCAGCUAAAGACCUGAUCAUCACAUUCUCCAUCACUCCAGACUACAGUCUGUUGAGCUCCUGGAUUCUUUCAACCAUAUACAGACUCACUGAUCACAAACAGACUAAUGAAUGUUUUUUCCUUCGAUCAGUGUCUGAUAAUGACAGUUCUGUUAGAUUUUCAGUUUGGUUCCUUUUCCUGUUGUCAUGUUUAUUGAUUUGAGUUCAUCAUUAUUUGGUCAGCCUAUUUUAGUGUCUGUGCAAUUUGAGUUGGAGUCUUCAAAGUGUACGUGUCACCAGCCCGGCCUGUCCAGAUUUACCUGCGCGUUUCUUGACA